rnacentral:piRNA from 1 species
UCUCAGUGUACUGACAUUAGAGGCUGCC